rnacentral:rRNA from 1 species
GACGUAGGGCGCGAGCGUUGUCCGGAAUUAUUGGGCGUAAAGAGCUCGUAGGCGGCUUGUCGCGUCGGCUGUGAAAUCCCGUGGCUCAACUGCGGGUCUGCAGCCGAUACGGGCAGGCUAGAGUUCGGUAGGGGGAGACUGGAAUUCCUGGUGUAGCGGUGAAAUGCGCAGAUAUCAGGAGGAACACCGAUGGCGAAGGCAGGUCUCUGGGCCGAUACUGACGCUGAGGAGCGAAAGCGUGGGGGAGCGAACAGG